rnacentral:rRNA from 1 species
UACGUAGGGUGCAAGCGUUAAUCGGAAUUACUGGGCGUAAAGCGUGCGCAGGCGGUUAUGUAAGACAGGUGUGAAAUCCCCGGGCUUAACCUGGGAACUGCAUUUGUGACUGCAUAGCUAGAGUACGGUAGAGGGGGAUGGAAUUCCGCGUGUAGCAGUGAAAUGCGUAGAUAUGCGGAGGAACACCGAUGGCGAAGGCAAUCCCCUGGACCUGUACUGACGCUCAUGCACGAAAGCGUGGGGAUCAAACAGG